GCUUCGGAGUUCUAAAUAGUAGGAGAUUGUUUAUUGAUAUUGUUCCAUGUCACUACUGAAAUGAUCCACUACAAGAAAAAUAGUCUAUCCCGGCGGUUUAGAGCCAGCGGGCUUACAUAGACCGCCGCCUAUAUUCGUUUUAAAGGCUCACGCGGCGGUUUAUAAUAUUACAUUUGGCGGAUUUUAUAGCGAACCGGAAUUAAACGCGGUGUGGAGAAACGCGCGGAGACAAAAAAUUCUCUCCCAAGCGAAGUUCAAGUUUGAAGAGAAUCUCAGUGUUGUGCGAUUCAAGCAAGAUAUAUACGCGAUUCAACACUGAUUUCUGGGCAGAGAACCAGUUUUGUGCGAGAAUCUCAGUGUUGUGCGAUUCAAGCUUUUUUUUCUUCUUGCGGAGAAAUUUUGAAGAAGACAGAAGAUUCUCUUACAAGCUUUUUUGCUUCACGAGCAAGAUAUAUAUUGUAGAGGAGAAUCAGUGUUGUGUGAUUCAACACUGAUUUCUGGGCAGCUUUGUUGAUAAGGGGAAAGAGACCUGUUAUGCGAGAAUCUCAGUGUUCGUUGAGAAGGGGAAAGAAAAUCAGUGUUCAUUUGAGAAGAGGAAAUUUCUGGGCAGCAAGCAACGACAACCUCUGUUCGUUCGAGCAAGAGAAGGUCAGCAGAUCCUGCAAGUUUGGGCACAGUUAGAGUUGACAUCUCAGAAAGGAAUUGGAAUGAACUUGUGAGAAAGGAAUUUCAGAGCUCUUUGGUUGCUGGUGUUCCAUUGACUAUUGUUCCCGAGCCCACACAAGCACAAUGCCAUGAUGUUUCUCAUGUAUUAAUUUGUAUUAGAGAAAUUGUAUUGAUUUGAAACCUAACAUGUAUUAAUUUCUA